ACCAGGAACUAGCUUCUGAUACAACAAUUUAGACUCGUAUUCAACUCAUGCAGUUGGCUGGAUUGGUUGGAGCACCUUUCCAAUUUAGGUUUGAGCUGGUUCCCUUUUCAUAUAAAGUUCCACUUUUUUCUAAGUCAUAGGAUCAGUCAAGACAUCAGAACUAAUUUUUAUUGGGUUUAUCUGAGUUUUGCAUGUCUGAUCAGGUCGGUUCGUAUUCUAGGUUUAAUGUUUACUGUUUUCAUUCCCACCUGGUUUAAUGUCUGAUCAGGUCGGUUCGUAUUCUAGGUUUAAUGUUUACUGUUUUCAUUCCCACCUGGUUAUAGUUUUUCUAGUAGCCUGCGACUGAUAAAUAACUCAUGGUUUUGAAUUUCAGAUAUGAGUUGAACCAAAUCAAGUUAGAUACAGAUUAUACCUGUUCCUCCUCUAACAACUCCUACCUCUAUUCAUAACCUAAAUCUAUGAAUAUUGGGUGCCACAAGUAUGUUAUAACUACUCCAGAAUUAUGAGAAGAAAGUAUUAUAUUUUUGGGGAUUAGGGAUAAAAGAUCAUGAAAAAUCAACUAGGAUGAUGCCCCAAAUAACCCAUUGAACCUUGAUAGUUUGAAGUAAUGCCCUGCCUAUGGGGUAUCCUAUCUGCUACAGCAUUCUUUACACAUCAUGCAACUUAUUCUAUGGUACUCUGCAAGCACUAGUUUAGUGGAAGUUGCUGAAUUUUGAGUAGUUUAACGAUUACAUAACAGUUGUAAGGCCUAAAAUUUGUAAUAGUUCUGGUGA
rnacentral:lncRNA from 1 species